ensembl:lncRNA
UAACUAUCUACAGUCUUGAGAUGAGGUUGGCCCAUGGCUACUGAAACUCUAAAAUAUAUUUCAGGAACAAUUUGGGUUGGAAGGAGGCUGCCCAGUGUGUGGAGUCAAUUUGGGAAGGCAGUGUUGGCACCAUCUUCAGAAGGUCUAGGUAGAUUCUUUACCAACCGAGCUACCAGGGAAUCCCACAGAAGAAGGUGCCUGGAGCUGCUGGCUUUUCCCUGCCAGGCAGGAGACCCCGAAGCUGCUCUGUCCUCCCUCCCCUCUGUAGGCUGGGGAGGGCAUCUUUCUGAUCCUUGGAUAAAAUCCCUCCUAUCAAGAUCAUCCAUCAGUAUCUUCCUGAACAUUCCCAAAGGCCCUCUGAGAGAAUGGUAUGAGAUUCUUUUUCAUCUGAAGUCCACAGCCCUGGGGUCCUUGAAAGUGAACCUGAUCCUACUCGAACCAGAUUUUCACUAUAAACAAAAAGGCUCUGUGAUUCCUCCAAGGCACAGAAGGACAAGAGAUUCCAAUCAGAUGACCUCUAGCUUGAUUUCAAAUACAACCAUUCUACCAGGAAGCUAUUCUCUCAAAUCUGUGAAGAAGAUUCUGAAAGCUGAAAGGUGUUAGAUAUUGAAAGACAAUUCCCAAAAUAGUGAAAGAAAGAUUUCAUUAUUUUGUUACUUUUUUUUUUUUUUCCUUUUGGUAAUAAAGAAUUUGGUGGAGUUAGUUUCUGGCA